AACGAUAUGAUGUGAAAUUUGUGUAAAGAAAGAAAAGAAGAAUAAUCUAUACACAUGCUUGGUGAUAAGAAGACCUAAGAGCAAAUCUUUUCAAUUGAAGAGCGGUGACGCGAUUGAAGAACACCAACAAUGGGAGAAGAACACCAAACUCAGAAAAAUGCAAGAAACAAACCCAUAACAGAAAUACAAACCCAAACAAAAACCCCAAAUCCAUAAAUCAUUAAAAAAAUCAAAUCCAUAACUUCAACUACUAAAUAUGGUGUUUGUGAUUAAAUAUUCAUCACAUCCAAAAAAAUACUCAUGUGGUCGCAAUACCUACUUUGCCUAAUUCAAAUGGCUAAAGCAAUUAAGAUGUGUCCGAUCAUGAUGGUGUCAUUUUUCAACAACAAAAUGGUGCAGCAAUAUCAAUACAUGUAUCAAACCCAAAUUGAUCCAGAUCAAAUCCAUGCUCGAAUCCAGUCUAAUUAACAAACCGAAAUCAAAUCCAGAUCUUCAAAUGUAAGAUCAAACUCAAAUCGUGCCCUUGAUUUAAGCAUCCAUUGUGAUCGGGACCAAAACCAGUCGCAUCAAUCGUAGAUCUAGGUUUGAACCUUCGAGAUCUUUCACAAAAAUUCGCCAUAAUUCGAGGAUCCUUGGGUUGAUAAUGAAGAUGAAGAUUAAAUGAAAAUGAAUGAGAUGAAGAUGGAGAUUUAAGAUUUUCAUUAUGUUUUGGUUUGAUGAACGAAAUGAGAUGGAAACUAUUAAAUCAAUU
rnacentral:lncRNA from 1 species